CAGCAGCCACGGUAAUACGGAGGGUGCAAGCGUUAAUCGGAAUUACUGGGCGUAAAGCGCACGCAGGCGGUCUGACAAGUCAGAUGUGAAAUCCCCGGGCUUAACCUGGGAACUGCAUUUGAAACUGUCAGGCUGGAGUCUUGUAGAGGGUGGUGGAAUUCCAGGUGUAGCGGUGAAAUGCGUAGAGAUCUGGAGGAAUACCGGUGGCGAAGGCGGCCCCCUGGACAAAGACUGACGCUCAGGUGCGAAAGCGUGGGGAGCAAACAGGAUUAGAUACCCCUGUAGUCCCUGUCUCUUAUAC
rnacentral:rRNA from 1 species